CAGGGCUGUCCAACCUGCGGCCCCCCAGAUGUUGCUGAACUACAACUCCCAUGAUUCCCUGGCUAUCUUUUUAAUUGAAAGAAUCAUGGGAGUUGUAGUUCAGCAACAUCUGGGGGGCCGCAGGUUGGACAGCCCUG
rnacentral:miRNA from 1 species